GGGAAUAGCUCAGUGGUAGAGCGCGACCUUGCCAAGGUCGAUGUCGCGGGUUCGACUCCCGUUUCCC
rnacentral:tRNA from 1 species